CUACAGUACUUUGAAACCACUCGAUAAUACAUACCGUGGAUUUUCCGAGUCCUGCUUCCACACCUGAGCUACCAGCGAGCAUGUCUCAGGCUGUGAGAAUGGAUAAGGACAGCUGGAAGCAAUGGUGUUCUUCUCAGCCGGAACCCGGUGUGGUCAGUGUGCAGCCUGACACUCGAAACUCAUUCAUCUUCCUGUAUCCCUCUUCAUGUUGCAGCACACCAAGGCUUUGGAUUCCUUCAGCACUAUUCGAUUACAUGAGACAAGCUUCUUGAUCUGAGCCACCACUUUCCUGAGUGAAGGUCCAGGACCCAAACAGCUGGGAGAGAAGGCCGUUGCCAAAUGCCUCCUGUGUGAUCAGUUUCAACCCACUGAGCAUCGUCUGGCUUGCAGCUGGUCGUCCCAUGAUUUCGGAAACGUAAUGGUAGAUCAGCUAUCUGGAAUCUGCUCAGAGGUAGAAGAGGGUGUUGGAAACCAAGUCUUUUCAUUAGCCUAAACCAUAUCACAAAGAGGCAGUACGGAUGCUCCUAGCUGAACGGCUGGGCUGUUGACUGCUUUAGUAAUAGACAGAUUAAGUUAAAUGAUAGCAUUCACAAAGUUCCUUCCAUCCAACUAUGAAACAGGCCCCUACCUGGGCCCAAUCUCGUCUACUCUGUACAUCAGAGGCCAGACGAGAUUGGGAGCGUUCACGGUGGUAUGGGUGUAGAUUGUUCACGAUGUUUCUGGUAGCUUCUGCGAUUUUAAUGCUUGCUCUCUUUCUGUCCUCUGUCAAACGUCGUAAAAAAUAAAUAAGGCCAAGUGCACCCCAGAAGACCCUACCAAUGGUGCUGAGCAGUACAAGCUUGCUCUAGUUUCUGGAGUUAAAUGAUAGCAUUCACGAAGUUCCUUCCAUCCAAUACCCUGUGCUGCCUCCGGGAAGAUUGCAGAUACCUGACCUAGCAUUACAUUUCCGAAAUAAUGGGAUGAUUUGUUCAGAGUACUCCCGAAUAAAUAGCAUGAAUGUUCCCGGUCCUGCUUCCAAGCAUAAGCUACCAGUGAGCUUGUCUCAGGCUGUGAGAAUGGAUAAGGACAACUGGAAGCAAUGGUGUUCUUCUCAGCCGGAACCCGGUGUGGUCAGUGUGCAGCCUGACAGUCGAAACUCAUUCAUCUUCCUUUCUAAGUCCUUUGACAUAGAGUCCAACCCUUGGGCAGAACCCCAGAUUUUCUUCAGUACUUCACAUGUUCUCUCGUUCCAGAUCCCUCUUCAUGUUGCAGCGCACCAAGGCUUUGGAUUCCUCCAGCACUAUUCGAUUACAGGAGACAAGCUUCUCGAUCUGAGCCACCAAUUUCCUGAGUGAAGGUCCAGGACCCAAACAGCUGGGAGAGAAGGCCGUUGCCAAAUGCCUCCUGUGUGAUCAGUUUCAACCCACUGAGCAUCGUCUCGCUUGCAGCUCGUCGUCGCAUGAUUUCGGAAACGUAAUGGUAGAUCAGCUAUCUGGAAUCUGCCCAGAGGUAGAAGAGGGUGUUGGAAACCAAGUCUUUUCAUUAGCCUAAACCAUAUCACAAAGAGGCAGUACGGAUGCUCCUAGUCGAACGGCUGGGCCAUUGACUGCUUCAGUAAUAGACAGCUUCAGUUAAAUGAUAGCAUUCAUGAAGUUCCUUCUAUCCAGCUACGAAACAGUCCCGAACCUGGGCCCAAUCGCAUGUACUCUGUACUUGAGAGACGAGACAAGAUUGGGAACGUUCACGGUGGUAUGACUGUAGAUUGCUCACGACGUUUCCAGUGGUUUGUGCCGUUUUAAUACUUGCUCUCUUUCUGUCCGCUGUCAAACGUCGUAAAAAAUAAAUUAUGCCAAGUGCACCCCAGAAGACCCUACCAAUGGUGCUGAGCAGUCCAAGCUUGCUGUACUUUCUGGAGUCAGUACUCCCGAAUAAAUAGCGUGAAUGUUCCCAGUCCUGCUUGCAAGCAUAAGCUACCAGUGAGCUUGUUUCAGACUGUGAGAAUGGAUAAGGACAGCUGGAAGCAAUGGUGUUCUUCUCAGCCGGCACCUGAUGUGGUCAGUGUGCAGCCUGACACUCGAAACUCAUUCAUCUUCCUUUCUAAGUCCUUUCACAUGGAGUCCAACCCUUGGGCAGAACCCCAGAUUUUCUUCAGUCCUUCACAUGUUCUCUCGUUGGCCUGUUCCAGAUCCCUCUUCAUGUUGCAGCACACCAAGGCUUUGGAUUCCUCCAGCACUAUUCGAUUACAUGAGACAAGCUUCUUGAUCUGAGCCACCAAUUUCCUGAGUGAAGGUCCAGGACCCAAACAGCUGGGAGAGAAGGCCGUUGCCAAAUGCCUCCUGUGUGAUCAGUUUCAACCCACUGAGCAUCGUCCCGCUUGCAGCUGGUCGUCCCAUGAUUUCGGAAACGUAAUGGGAGAUCAGCUAUCUGGAAUCUGCUCAGAGGUAGAAAAGGGUGUUGGAAACCAAGUCUUUUCAUUAGCCUAAACCAUAUCACAAAGAGGCAGUACGGAUGCUCCUAGUCGAAUGGCUGGGAAAUUGACUGCUUCAAUAAUAUUCAGUUUGAGUGAUAUGAUAGCCUUCACGAAGUUCCUCCCAUCCAAGUACUGAAGAGGCCCUACCCUGGGCGCAAUCUCGUGUACUCUGUACUUCAGUGACCAGAGGAGAUUGGAGCAUUCACUGUGCUAUGGCCGUAGAUUAUGUACGACGUUUCUGGUAGCUUCUCUUCUGCCAUUUUAAUUCUUUCUCUUUUUCUAUCAUAUUGCGGGUCAUAUGGUCAUAGAUUAUUCACUAUGUUUCAGAUAACUUCUUUUACUUCAGUAACAGGUUUUUUGAACGGAGUAAUAGUAUUCACAAAGUUCCUUGUGUCCAUGCACUAUACAGGGCAGAUACUGCUGAGCUUCUGAUAUCCGAAGAAAUCGUGCAUGUUUCGGGUGGUAUGGCCAUGGAUUAUUCACGAAGUUUCUGUUAGCUUCUGCCUAUUUAACACUUUCUUUUUUUCCUUCACUUUCAGAGUGAUAUGGCCAUAGAUUAUUCACGACGUUUCUGAUAGGUUCUCCCAUUUUAAUCCUUUCUCUUUUUCUGUCAUCUGUCAAACACUGCAUAAAAUAAAUAAAGUCAAGUCCACAACAGAAGACACUGUUAAAGGCGCUGAGCAGUACAAGCUUGUUGUAAUCAGCAGUGGUUGUCAGAGCUGGUAGACUUUUUUCAUUACAGCUGUAUUUACUGAGUUAUUCCCUGUUGAUCUAGUGAAUAAGAUGUGGGUGAAGCCAUCUUUUGUCCCGACCACAAUAACUCUGUAUCCGUAGGCCCUUUCUGUUUGCCUCACACUGAAAUGCAAUCGUUUGUUAAAAGGCUGUUCUCUUCUGUUGUCAAUAAAUUUCCUUUUGCUGACAGUUACUCCUGUAACAGAUGUCUGUAUGUUGCUUGUCCCACUGGCUGUUAAUGCAUCUAUGAAUGUAGAUGUAGCUUUCCUGUUAACGAGUAAGCCUGUGGCCAUGGCUGCACUUAUGGGGCCAUGCACCUGAGGCACUAGCAGGUGUAUCCAGGCUUGCUCCCCAUCCUGGCCUACUCAGCACCAUGGCCCAAUAAAGCUUUGUCUGGCUUUUCUGCUGCCACUUUGGGUACUACCAUUCCUCCUGACCCUGCUCUGUGGGGUCCAGUUUUUUGGGGCUCUCACUCUGAAAGCCAUUCACUGCGUCCUGCUUAAUGGGGCUCUUAGGCAUGAGGAUCUUGAUACCUGACUUCACUAGGUCCAUUUUCAUCUGGCUGCAGAGAGACGGAGCUGUGUUCUUCCUGAACUGCUGGCUGGCAGCAAACAGCUGGCUGUUUUUGGAUUCGUGAUCUCUCCCAAUCACUGGUGCCUUAGGAGAGGACUUAGAAAAGCUGCUGUUUGUGGAUCUGGAGAUUUGUUUCCUAGCAUUGUUGGGAGAGGACCUGUUUGUUCUGGUCAAUGUGCUCUCUUUCUGCCUUUCCGUGUGGUGUCUGUUGAAGUCGUGGAUGUAUUCCUGACAGUUCACGAGGUGCUGCUCUGGUUCCCAAGUGUUGUCCUCGCUGUUGUAGCCUUUUCACUGAACCAAAUACUCUCUCUUCCCUUUUUAAUUUUUCCUUUUGUCAACAAUCUUUUCAAUCUAACCUGCCUUAGUUGGCAUAGACCAAUGUAAUUCAGUUCGCUCCUCCUCAAAUUUAAACAAUUCGUCAUUGAUGGCAAGUAGUACCCAAGAUAAGACUCUUCAGAUGAAGAAUCACAGCCUUUUCCCAUCUCAGAAGAACAAUGACUAAAAUUUUAAGUUUGCAGUCCUACGCUUUUCCGAAUUUAAAUGAUUUUGCUAAUAAUCAUAUCACCUCUAUCAAAAAUCUUUCUGAAUUUUAUUGUUAUGCA
rnacentral:lncRNA from 1 species